rnacentral:rRNA from 1 species
AGUGAACGCUGGCGGUAGGCCUAACACAUGCAAGUCGAACGGCAGCACAGUAAGAGCUUGCUCUUACGGGUUGCGAGUGGCGGACGGGUGAGGAAUACAUCGGAAUCUACUUUUUCGUGGGGGAUAACGUAGGGAAACUUACGCUAAUACCGCAUACGACCUACGGGUGAAAGCAGGGGAUCUUCGGACCUUGCGCGAUUGAAUGAGCCGAUGUCGGAUUAGCUAGUUGGCGGGGUAAAGGCCCACCAAGUCGACGAUCCGUAGCUGGUCUGAGAGGAUGAUCAGCCACACUGGAACUGAGACACGGUCCAGACUCCUACGGGAGGCAGCAGUGGGGAAUAUUGGACAAUGGGCGCAAGCCUGAUCCAGCCAUACCGCGUGGGUGAAGAAGGCCUUCGGGUUGUAAAGCCCUUUUGUUGGGAAAGAAAAGCAGCAGGUUAAUACCCCGCUGUUCUGACGGUACCCAAAGAAUAAGCACCGGCUAACUUCGUG